AUGCGCCUUGAGGUACCAGUGCGGGCAGAUCCAAGCGCCACAUCAGCAGAAGUGAUGGAUUCCUGCCGGAUCGACUCAGUCCUUGGUCAGGUGCAUUUCUCCCUGGAGCAAUGGAGAGCAGGUGGACAAAGAACUUCUCCUAGUCUCCACAUUGAACGAGAUCCCAGUCAAGAAAUUCGGAGUGCCAGGAGCCGGGUCCACUGCCGCCAUGCCGGACGAGGCAGAAGAUCGCCGGAGAGGAGCUGGGGGAGAGGGGGGAGUGGAGUGGCGCAAACUCGAAGUGGAGUGGAGUGGCAAGUGGGUAGGGUGAAAUGGGGAAAAGCAAUUGGUGGAAACACCAUCCUCAUUUUUUUGGAAGCAGAACAUUCAACAUUGUAG
rnacentral:rRNA from 1 species